rnacentral:rRNA from 1 species
GAUCAGUGGCUCAGGACGACGCUGGCGGCGUGCUUAACACAUGCAAGUCGAACGGAAAGGCCCUGCUUGCAGGGUACUCGAGUGGCGAACGGGUGAGUAACACGUGGGUGAUCUGCCCUGCACUUCGGGAUAAGCCUGGGAAACUGGGUCUAAUACCGGAUAGGAGCCAUUUUUAGUGUGAUGGUUGGAAAGUUUUUUCGGUGUAGGAUGAGCUCGCGGCCUAUCAGCUUGUUGGUGGGGUAAUGGCCUACCAAGGCGGCGACGGGUAGCCGGCCUGAGAGGGCGGACGGCCACAUUGGGACUGAGAUACGGCCCAGACUCCUACGGGAGGCAGCAGUGGGGAAUAUUGCACAAUGGGCGCAAGCCUGAUGCAGCGACGCCGCGUGGGGAUGACGGCCUUCGGGUUGUAAACUCCUUUCGCUAGGGACGAAGCUUUUUGUGACGGUACCUAGAUAAGAAGCACCGGCUAACUACGUG